rnacentral:sRNA from 1 species
AAAGUGGAACUCAAGGGGUUUCUGGCACCUACCUACCUGCUUCCCGCUGGGGGGUGGGGAGUUGGCCCAGAGUCUUAAGAUUGGGGCAGGGUGGAGAGGUGGGCUCUUCCUGCUUCCCACUCAUCUUAUAGCUUUCUUUCCCCAGAUCCGAAUUCGAGAUCCAAACCAAGGAGGAAAGGAUAUCACGGAGGAGAUCAUGUCUGGGGCCCGCACUGCCUCCACACCCACCCCUCCCCAGACGGGAGGCGGUCUGGAGCCUCAAGCUAAUGGGGAGACGCCCCAGGUUGCUGUCAUUGUCCGGCCAGUUGCUCAUUCUUCCUUCCUAUGGUGCAGAUGACCGGUCACAGGGAGCAAUCAUUGCUGACCGGCCAGGGCUGCCUGGCCCAGAGCAUAGCCCUUCAGAAUCCCAGCCUUCGUCGCCUUCUCCGACCCCAUCACCAUCCCCAGUCUUGGAACCGGGGUCUGAGCCUAAUCUCGCAGUCCUCUCUAUUCCUGGGGACACUAUGACAACUAUACAAAUGUCUGUAGAAGAAUCAACCCCCAUCUCCCGUGAAACUGG